CCUGCAGUGACCCUUAGGGCUAAUGGCUUGCGCCACGGUCCCUAGGUCCGGCUGGGCAACCAGCGCGCAGGCGGAGAACAGCAAAACCCCCUGAAGAUAUACUUGCUGCACCUCCUCCUGCAGUGACCUCUAGGAAUCCCUAGGUCCGGCUGGGCAACCAGCGCGCAGGAGGAGAACAGCAAAAAACCGCCUGAAGACAUAGAUAAGACGGAAGCCUGUUGAAAGAUAACGACCACCAGAAGCCACUACAGGAAUGCUGUCCGCUGGGAAACUUAUCUCACCUUCUCUAGACCCACAAACUUUAUUCUAAUACAACUGUCUCUCUAAAAUCUUUUCUCUUUCUCUGUUUAAAAGGUCAUUGGUUUGCCGAUUAAAAAAGAACAUACAAAAUCUAAUAACUAGGCUGAUUCAAAUGAAACGUUACUAAACUCUGUGUAUUAAUAGAACUGCUAGCUUAAUAAUUUCUCUGUUGUAUACUUAGCCUUGUUAGUAUUAAUCUAAAUGAUAAAAAUAUUACAUUGUGAAAAGUAAAAUUCACCUGUGUUAAUUAAUAGUAAUAGUGAGUAGUUAAAACAAAAAGUAAUCAUAUAAAACAAAAAGAAAAAUUAAUAGCCUAACUACUUAGGAAUGCGCCUGGGUCCAGAUGUAAAUCACUGCCCUGUCAAUGAUAAGCUAAACCUAUAAGCAAGCUGAUUUCUUCACUGAUGUUCGCCAUUCCUAUGCUUUUAGAAAACAUAUAUAUACUGGUCACCAACUCAAAUAAAAUUACACUCAGAUUUUCACUCUUGAAGUGUGUCUGUUUGUCAUUUCUUUAACCGAAUCCCUGACCACCCUGCGCAGUCUCUCAACCCUGAGACGGCCUCAUCGUCUACUGCUGUGCUGGUCCGCGGCAGGUGGCGCCUGAACGUGGGGCCCGAAUUCAAAUAUUGCUGAGUUUUUCCACCCAAAGGAGAGGGUUCCAGAGACCUCUGAAAAUGAUGAGGAAGCUUGCCUCCAUUGGCAGGACUGAAUAACCCGGUUCCCUGGACAGAAAGCUCUGUCAUGAAGCCUGAACUCUUUCGUCUUUUCACUGCCUUUGAUGAUGUACACUUCAAACAACCUGGACAGGACACCGCUAAGAUCCCAGUGCGUGCCUGCGUUGGAUACCCCUUUGCUCUGCUCCUGGGAAAUGCUUCAUCCACACUCUCUCAACCCUGAGACGGCCUCAUCGUCUACUGCUGUGCUGG